rnacentral:rRNA from 1 species
UACAGAGGGGGCAAGCGUUGUUCGGAAUUACUGGGCGUAAAGGGCGCGUAGGCGGCCUUCUAAGUCGAACGUGAAAUCCCUGGGCUCAACCCAGGAACUGCGUCCGAUACUGGGAGGCUUGAAUCCGGGAGAGGGAUGCGGAAUUCCAGGUGUAGCGGUGAAAUGCGUAGAUAUCUGGAGGAACACCGGUGGCGAAGGCGGGUCUCUGGGCCGAUACUGACGCUGAGGAGCGAAAGCGUGGGGAGCGAACAGG